rnacentral:ribozyme from 1 species
AGGGAUUCCCAUACUGGAUGCGUCUUCGAGGAGGAUGGACCCGAACGCUUCUCCACACCAUGCCGGGUCCAGUGACUAG